GAGUGACAGAUACAGGGAAGAUAAUCAAGGAGGUGAUGGAGUCCAGGUGAGUGACAGAUAUAGGGAAGAUAAUCAAGGAGGUGAUGGAGUCCAGGUGAGUGACAGAUAUAGGGAAGAUAAUCAAGGAGGUGAUGGAGUCCAGGUGAGUGACAGAUAUAGGGAAGAUAAUCAAGGAGGUGAUGGAGUCCAGGUGAGUGACAGAUAUAGGGAAGAUAAUCAAGGAGGUGAUGGAGUCCAGGUGAGUGACAGAUAUAGGGAAGAUAAUCAAGGAGGUGAUGGAGUCCAGGUGAGUGACAGAUAUAGGGAAGAUAAUCAAGGAGGUGAUGGAGUCCAGGUGAGUGACAGAUAUAGGGAAGAUAAUCAAGGAGGUGAUGGAGUCCAGGUGAGUGACAGAUAUAGGGAAGAUAAUCAAGGAGGUGAUGGAGUCCAGGUGAGUGACAGAUAUAGGGAAGAUAAUCAAGGAGGUGAUGGAGUCCAGGUGAGUGACAGAUAUAGGGAAGAUAAUCAAGGAGGUGAUGGAGUCCAGGUGAGUGACAGAUAUAGGGAAGAUAAUCAAGGAGGUGAUGGAGUCCAGGUGAGUGACAGAUAUAGGGAAGAUAAUCAAGGAGGUGAUG